rnacentral:rRNA from 1 species
CCUACGGGAGGCAGCAGUGGGGAAUAUUGGGCAAUGGGCGCAAGCCUGACCCAGCAACGCCGCGUGAAGGAAGAAGGCUUUCGGGUUGUAAACUUCUUUUAUGAGGGACGAAGUGACGUGACGGUACCUCAUGAAUAAGCCACGGCUAUCUACGUGCCAGCAGCCGCGGUAAU